AAUAGAUACCCUGGUAGUCCACGCCGUAAACGAUGAGUGCUAAGUGUUAGGGGGUUUCCGCCCCGUUAGUGCUGCAGCUAACGCAUUAAGCACUCCGCCUGGGGAGUACGGUCGCAAGACUGAAACUCAAAGGAAUUGACGGGGGCCCGCACAAGCGGUGGAGCAUGUGGUUUAAUUCGAAGCAACGCGAAGAACCUUACCAGGUCUUGACAUCCUCUGACAAUCCUAGAGAUAGGACGUCCCCUUCGGGGGCAGAGUGACAGGUGGUGCAUGGUUGUCGUCAGCUCGUGUCGUGAGAUGUUGGGUUAAGUCCCGCAACGAGCGCAACCCUUGAUCUUAGUUGCCAGCAUUCAGUUGGGCACUCUAAGGUGACUGCCGGUGACAAACCGGAGGAAGGUGGGGAUGACGUCAAAUCAUCAUGCCCCUUAUGACCUGGGCUACACACGUGCUACAAUGGACAGAACAAAGGGCAGCGAAACCGCGAGGUUAAGCCAAUCCCACAAAUCUGUUCUCAGUUCGGAUCGC
rnacentral:rRNA from 1 species